AUUGAACGCUGGCGGAAUGCUUUACACAUGCAAGUCGAACGGUGGAGGGGGCAACCCCUCGAGAGUGGCGAACGGGUGAGUAAUAUAUCGGAACGUGCCCAGUCGUGGGGGAUAACGUAGCGAAAGUUACGCUAAUACCGCAUACGAUCUAAGGAUGAAAGCGGGGGACUCGCAAGAGCCUCGCGCGAUUGGAGCGGCCGAUAUCAGAUUAGGUAGUUGGUGGGGUAAAGGCUCACCACGCCAACGAUCUGUAGCGGGUCUGAGAGGACGACCAGCCACACUGGAACUGAGACACGGUCCAGACUCCUACGGGAGGCAGCAGUGGGGAAUGUUGGACAAUGGACGCAAGUCGGAUCCAGCCAUUCCGCGUGCAGGAUGAAGGCCCUCGGGUUGUAAACUGCUUUUGUACGGAACGAAAAGGUUUCUAUUAAUACUAGGAGCUCAUGACGGUACCGUAAGAAUAAGCACCGGCUAACUACGUGCCAGCCGCCGCGGUAAUAC
rnacentral:rRNA from 1 species